UGCAGUCGAGCGAAUGGAUUAAGAGCUUGCUCUUAUGAAGUUAGCGGCGGACGGGUGAGUAACACGUGGGUAACCUGCCCAUAAGACUGGGAUAACUCCGGGAAACCGGGGCUAAUACCGGAUAACAUUUUGAACCGCAUGGUUCGAAAUUGAAAGGCGGCUUCGGCUGUCACUUAUGGAUGGACCCGCGUCGCAUUAGCUAGUUGGUGAGGUAACGGCUCACCAAGGCAACGAUGCGUAGCCGACCUGAGAGGGUGAUCGGCCACACUGGGACUGAGACACGGCCCAGACUCCUACGGGAGGCAGCAGUAGGGAAUCUUCCGCAAUGGACGAAAGUCUGACGGAGCAACGCCGCGUGAGUGAUGAAGGCUUUCGGGUCGUAGAACUCUGUUGUUAGGGAAGAACAAGUGCUAGUUGAAUAAGCUGGCACCUUGACGGUACCUAACCAGAAAGCCACGGCUAACUACGUGCCAGCAGCCGCGGUAAUACGUAGGUGGCAAGCGUUAUCCGGAAUUAUUGGGCGUAAAGCGCGCGCAGGUGGUUUCUUAAGUCUGAUGUGAAAGCCCACGGCUCAACCGUGGAGGGUCAUUGGAAACUGGGAGACUUGAGUGCAGAAGAGGAAAGUGGAAUUCCAUGUGUAGCGGUGAAAUGCGUAGAGAUAUGGAGGAACACCAGUGGCGAAGGCGACUUUCUGGUCUGUAACUGACACUGAGGCGCGAAAGCGUGGGGAGCACACAGGAUUAGAUACCCUGGUAGUCCACGCCGUAAACGAUGAGUGCUAAGUGUUAGAGGGUUUCCGCCCUUUAGGGCUGAAGUUAACGCAUUAAGCACUCCCCCUGGGGAAUACGCCGCAAGGUUAAACUCAAGGAAUUGACGGGGCCCGCACAAGCGGGGAACAGGGUUUAAUUCGAAGCACCGGAAAAACUUACGGGUUUGACUUC
rnacentral:rRNA from 1 species